UACGUAGGGUGCGAGCGUUGUCCGGAAUUACUGGGCGUAAAGAGCUCGUAGGUGGUUUGUCGCGUUGUUCGUGAAAACUCACAGCUUAACUGUGGGCCUGCAGCCGAUACGGGCAGGCUAGAGUUCGGUAGGGGAGACUGGAAUUCCUGGUGUAGCGGUGAAAUGCGCAGAUAUCAGGAGGAACACCGAUGGCGAAGGCAGGUCUCUGGGCCGAUACUGACGCUGAGGAGCGAAAGCGUGGGGAGCGAACAGG
rnacentral:rRNA from 1 species